GGCGGUGCCGGCAAGAUGGCUGCGCCCGAGAAGAUGACGUUUCCCGAGAAACCAAGCCACAAAAAGUACAGGGCCGCCCUGAAGAAGGAGAAACGAAAGAAACGUCGGCAGGAACUUGCUCGACUGAGAGACUCAGAAGGAGGAAGAGGAGGACACUUUUAUUGAAGAACAACAACUAGAAGAAGAGAAGCUAUUGGAAAGAGAGAGGCAAAGAUUACAUGAGGAGUGGUUGCUAAGAGAGCAGAAGGCACAAGAAGAAUUCAGAAUAAAGAAGGAAAAGGAAGAGGCGGCUAAAAAACGGCAAGAAGAACAAGAGAGAAAGUUAAAGGAACAAUGGGAAGAACAGCAGAGGAAAGAGAGAGAAGAGGAGGAGCAGAAACGACAGGAGAAGAAAGAAAAAGAGGUGAUUCCUGUCAUGGGAUGUGCUGUGUGAUGAGUUUGAAGAAUAAUCAGUAGGCAUGUCAGAGUUUGGGUUU
rnacentral:lncRNA from 1 species